GCUGGCUAAACUGAAUCUUAAUUUCCCUUUAAGUAUCAUACAGUCUCUAAGCAUCUCUCCCAGCCCCAAGUCUCUCACUGGAAGGGCUGGUAUAAGAUCAGACAGGGGCAGAGGGCACUGCUGUCCUGUCUGUGGCUCUCAGAGGCUCAGAUAUGUGCCCUGGUGUCCAGUUCUAGGUCCAGGGCUAGGCAGGAGAACAGGCUGGGUGGCUGCACCUUCAGGACUCAUAGGUAAAAGGUCACCUGAGGAAGAACUUUUCCAGUUGGUUAAACAUUAACAGGUCUAGAGCCGGCGACUCAGGCUUCCCCUGCUCCCAAGUCCAGUCUUGCAUGCAAAGUGUGCUUACUAAAUGCUGGUGAGGGUAGAGGGUCCGGCAGAGGCAGUGAGGGGCUUUGGACACGGUGGCGGGUGGGCGGCUCCAGGGUUCCUGGAGGAGAUCUUGUAGUCUCCAGCCGGUCUCCAGGCCAACCCCUUUCUGCAAAGCACAGAGGGAAAGAAAUGAAGGGGACAGGGACAGGCCCUGGCAGGGGUGAUUGGUAUUCCUGUGGUCUCCAGCCCGGUGGAGGGCUGGUGGAGGGCCGGUGGAUGGUCGCAGAGUGCCCUGCCCCCAGAGGCCUGAAAUUCUGUAGAAGGGACCCCCUGACUUCGCUACUCCUUACCCGUCCAGCCAGACUCAGACCACACCACCCCUUCUCCCUGGAGGCUCUGGGCACCAGGUGUUCGCCCAAGCAGAGAAAGGGUGGAGUGGGGGUCGGACGGACGCGGCGACUUUCUGGAAGAGGAAGCAAACACAAUCCAUCCUGCAACUGUGCGAAGAAAUGCCCCAGGGUGUGUGUGUGUGUGUGUGUGUGUGUUGGCAGGGGCGUGCCCCCGGGUGCAAAAGUCCCCCGAUUAUUGCUUCUGCUGGGAAUGCGUGGGGCUGGGGGCUUCCGAGGGGCGCCUUGAGGGUGUUUGAAAGACGUAACGUCCAAGGCCGGAGGUGGAGGGAAGGGCCACGGAGAGACAUUCUGGCGACAUUAGAGGAAGGGCAGAGGGCAGUCGCCGCUCAGGCCCCCGAGGCGGCCCUGCAGGGGUUAAGGCUGGAGCGG
rnacentral:lncRNA from 1 species